CUUACCCAGGCCUGACUCAAGUCACAGCUCCACCUGUUAGCAUAACUUCUCAGCCAGGGUCAACUGAGACAAUCCUUCCUUCUGCGCAGUCUUCGGUGGUGCACUCCGCCCAAUACCCCCCAGAAAAGGAGCAGUCAGAACAGAGUGUCGUCGCAGAGCACGUCGACAUAUGUGAGCUGUGUACCUGCAGAAAUGAGACGCUGUCGUGCACUGGACUCAGCCCAAAUCAGAGGCUCCGCAGUGUGCCUGUUCUAGGGCCCAAGAGCUACAACCACACCUUCACCGUCUUAGAUUUCCAAGGAAACGCUAUUUCUUACAUUGAUGGAAAUACAUGGAAGGCAUUCCAGUGGGUUGAGACACUAAUUCUCAGGGAUAAUGCUUUGAC